UCAGGUUUGUAAUCAUAGAAUUGUGUGUAGUUAUGAUUAUGACAUAUUCAGCUGUUUGCAAAGUAACCUUGAAGACAGUAUCCCUUUGCAAAGUGUCUUCAGUCUUAUAACUGUUCGGUAAUAUGGGGUUGUACAAAACCAGUGAUGGUAAUCUUGCAGCCAAAGUAGAUUAGACUGCAGCAUAAAUUGAUGAAGGUUCAGCCAUGACAUUGAAUCAUAAUAGUUGGCGAAUUAUGUAGGCCAUUAGGUGAUUUAUUUAAUUACAGAUGCUAUGCAAAUAAUCUGUAAGGAAGAAGAUAUAUAUGGAAGGAAAAGUCAUUCAGAAAUAUGGAUGAAGAGACUGCAAUCUCCACAGACGUUGACAGAGCUUAUUUCUUCAGAAUUAUCAACCAUUCUUGACUAUAAAUUGACUUCUCUUAUGUUUAUUUUAUAUUUGGUAAUAUUUUCCAUUAUUUUCCAAUUUCAUUUAUUUGGAUAAUAUAAUGCAACAGAAUUUUGAAUUUUGCUCAAUUUUUGCUUUAACUUCAUUAUUUAUGACUAGAUUGUCUGCAAUCUUGGGCACAGUAAUCCAUCAGAAAAAAACAUCAAGGAAGGUUUAUUUGAACUUUACC